AACGAACGCUGGCGGCAGGCUUAACACGAUGCAAGUCGAACGCACCUUCGGGUGAGUGGCAGACGGGUGAGUAACGCGUGGGAACCUUCCCUGUGGUACGGAAUAGCUCCGGGAAACUGGAAUUAAUGCCGUAUACGCCCUUCGGGGGAAAGAUUUAUCGCCAUAGGAUGGGCCCGCGUCGGAUUAGCUUGUUGGUAGGGGUAAUGGCCUACCAAGGCAACGAUCCGUAGCUGGUCUUAGAGGAUGAUCAGCCACACUGGGACUGAGACACGGCCCAGACUCCUACGGGAGGCAGCAGUGGGGAAUAUUGGACAAUGGGCGAAAGCCUGAUCCAGCCAUGCCGCGUGAGUGACGAAGGCCUUAGGGUUGUAAAACUCUUUUGGCGGGGACGAUAAUGACGGUACCCGCAGAAUAAGCCCCGGCUAACUUCGUG
rnacentral:rRNA from 1 species